rnacentral:misc_RNA from 1 species
AAGUCGUAACAAGGUUUCCGUAGGUGAACCUGCGGAAGGAUCAUUAAAGAAUGAAGUUUUUGGGGUUUUAAAUUCCAAAAAAUAAUUCACCAUUUGUGCACUGUUAUUAGAUAUACUUUGGUUAGAGCUUUGGUUUCUUUUUACGAAGUCAACUUCUUGCUGACUCUAUCCUUUUUAAAGGACAGUUGGCUAUGAAGUGGCCUACCAAGGUUUUUUAUCAAAUACAUUUAAUCCAACUGACCUAAAACAAAUAAUUAAAUCAUAACUUUCAACAACGGAUCUCUUGGCUCUC